rnacentral:rRNA from 1 species
UACAGGGGGUGCAAACGUUGCUCGGAAUUAUUGGGCGUAAAGCGCGCGUAGGCGGCCACUUAAGUCGGAUGUGAAGGCCCCUGGCUCAACUGGGGAAGUGCACCCGAAACUGAGCGGCUUGAAUGCAAAAGAGGGUCGCGGAAUUCCCGGUGUAGAGGUGAAAUUCGUAGAUAUCGGAAGAACACCAGUGGCGAAGGCGACUCACUGGACACAUAUUGACGCUGAGGUGCGAAAGCGUGGGGAGCAAACAGG